rnacentral:rRNA from 1 species
GGGUCAGUAGGUUGGUCGUGCCACCGGUACGUACUGGUCUCACUGAUUCCUCCUUCCUGAGGAACCGUAAUGCCAUUAAUUUGGUGUUGCGGGGAAACAGGACUGUUACUUUGAAAAAAUUAGAGUGUUUAGAGCAAGCUAACGCUUGAAUACAUUAGCAUGGAAUAAUGAAAUAGGACGAUCGAUCCUAUUUUGUUGGUUUCUAGGAUUGACGUA